rnacentral:rRNA from 1 species
UACGAAGGGGGCUAGCGUUGUUCGGAUUUACUGGGCGUAAAGCGCACGUAGGCGGAUCGUUAAGUCAGGGGUGAAAUCCUGGGGCUCAACCCCAGAACUGCCUUUGAUACUGGCGAUCUCGAGUCCGGAAGAGGUGAGUGGAACUCCUAGUGUAGAGGUGGAAUUCGUAGAUAUUAGGAAGAACACCAGUGGCGAAGGCGGCUCACUGGUCCGGUACUGACGCUGAGGUGCGAAAGCGUGGGGAGCGAACAGG